CUGACAUGUAUACGUGUCAACGGGUGAGUAAACCCGUGCGCAAGGAAGCUAAUUAGCGGGAUCCCCUCGCGGGUGCACUGCCGACCGACCUUGAUCUUUUGAGAAGAGUUCGAGUGUGAGCAUACCUGUCGGGAACCGGAACAUGGUGAGUUAUGCCUGAGCGGGGAGAAGCCAGAGGAAAUAUGGUGGAGAUCCAAAGCGAUACUAACGUGCAUAUCAUUCGUCUGAGUUGGGCAUAGGGGGCGAAAGACUAAUCAAAGCCUCUAGUAGCUGG
rfam:Beta vulgaris subsp. vulgaris Bvchr7.sca021.con0471.1, whole genome shotgun sequence.